rfam:Operophtera brumata OBRT01_Sc02131, whole genome shotgun sequence.
ACAAAGGCCCUUUUUAGGGCCACCAUAUUCACUGAUAACCUAACAC